GGUCUGUACCAAGGAAGGGAACCAGGAAGGUCUGUGAGCCACAGGCAUCUCCCCCACUGCCUCUGCCACACUGAUUCCUGGGGAUUGAGGAGGAGAAGGGCUCCAGAGGAGCUGAAUGCUGCAGCUGCUCACUGGAGUAAAUGGACUACUCUGGCAUGCAGCCACGCUAUUCUACGGCAGCCAUGGAACAAGCUCCUCGGGGUUACCCACUGUGAGAAUGUCUCCUUAAACACCUGUGUAAUUCCUCUCAAAACCAUCUUGAAAUGUGCCAGCUUCUUACCCUGGGAUCUGUUAUCCUGUUCGGUUCGGGGCACCUCAGGCUUCCAUCACCUGCCUGCAGCCCUGGGAGUCAGCACUGCAACCUCAGUCUGCUGGCGUGGGAGAGGAAGACCAAGCUCCAGUAGUAAUGUGCAUUUGUCAUGGAAACUGAUUUGAAUUUAAUUCUAAACCCUGUUUUGCACCAGGAAAAUCUUCCAUUGGUAGUGAGGUACCACAGCUGGGCGAAAUAAUAGAUGUGGGAAAGAAAAAGAGCAAGGUGUGUUUUCAUGCUUCCCCGUCUACUUCACUGCAUCUCCUCCUUUACAUCAUCGUUUUUGAAGAUGCUUCCAUAGAACUGCCCUGGGGGGAUG